CACUCUGUCACCCUGGCUGGAAGGCAGUGGUGUGAUCAUAGCUCACUGCAGCCUUGGCCUCCUGGGCUCAAGCAAUGCCUCUGCUUCAACCUCCCAAGUAGCUGGAAUUACAGGAUUUCUACUUAUAAGCCAGACAAACACACUACAAGAAAACUACAGAUCAAUAUCCCUUGUGAAUAUAGAUGCAAAAAUCUCUAACAAAAUACUACCAGACAAAACUCAGCAUAUUAAAAGGAUUGAUUACGUAACAGGACCAAGUAGGAUUUAUUCCUGGAAUGGAAAGAUAGUUCAACAAUAAAAAUUAAUGAAGAAAAAAACUACAUGAUUAUCUCAGUUGAUGCAGAAAAAGCAUAUGAAAAACAUUAAUAUCUUUUAAUGGAACACAUACUCAAUAUAGGAGAAACAGAAAGAAACUUCCUCAAAAUGAUAGGGCCAUGACAAAAACCCACAGCUUGUAUCAUAGGACAUGAUGAAAGAUUGAAAACUUUUUCCCCUUAAGUGAGGAAUAAGACAAAGGUGCCUGCUUUUGCCACUUUUAUUUAGAAUCAUUCUAGAAGUUCUAGCCAGACCAGUGAGGCAAGAAUAAUAAAUACAAUAAUCCAAGGUGAAAAAAGAUGGCAUGAACUCUAUUAUUUCUUAUGACUGCAUGUGAAUUUAUAAUUAUUUCAAAAUAAAAAAUUAUUUUUUAAAAAAGGUCU
rnacentral:lncRNA from 10 species